rnacentral:rRNA from 1 species
UACAGAGGUGGCAAGCGUUGUUCGGAAUUACUGGGCGUAAAGGGUGCGUAGGCGGUCGCGUAAGUCAGGUGUGAAAUCUCAGGGCUCAACCCUGAAACUGCACUUGAUACUGCGUGGCUCGGGUACUGGAGAGGAGACUGGAAUUUACGGUGUAGCAGUGAAAUGCGUAGAUAUCGUAAGGAAGACCAGUGGCGAAGGCGAGUCUCUGGACAGUUACCGACGCUGAGGCACGAAGGUCAGGGGAGCAAACGGG